AAGGAAGGAAGAAAGAGAGAAAGAAAACCAAAAAUAAAAAUAGAAACAGAGAGAGAACGUAGGCUGAGACACCGAGGGAGAAAAUCAUACCAAAUAUAUAAUAAUUACAUUAAAUUUAAUUAAUUUAAUUUAAUAAAAAUCGAAAAUUUUCAAAUUGAGCAGGCGUCCUUUUUGGCUUAUAAAUUGGGUGGGAGCGACGGUUUCGUUUUUACUCGAUAUCGCUUUGAUCUUUCACGUGUCUCUCCCUUUCUCUCCGUUUUUUCUAUUCGAUUUGCUCUGUCUGUAUCGCGCCUUCUGUUUUGUUUCUUAGCACAAACAAAUUCUGUAGCGGUUUCCUAUUUGCUAAGCUUCGCUUGACGGUGCUUCGGUUCAUUAUAAUUAUAUAUACACAUACAUAUUCAUAGCACUCUGCUGAGAUAUAAAACAGAGAGGCUCUCAAGGUUUAUAUAACGAUACAGGGAGAUAAAUGGAGGGGAGAAAGCAAGUUGGGUCGUCUUCUUCCUUUACUUCUGAGCUUUUCGGGUCCAAGGAGUCGUCAUCUUCAUCUGGGAUUUUCGGGGCUAUAUUUGCGCCUUCCUCCAAGGAACUGGUGUUAGGGAGGGAAUCUCUGCGUUCUGAAGUCACUGGGAAAAAACUUACGGAUGAACCAUUGCACGUCAAACCUGGAGAGCCAGUUGGUGACUCUAAUGGCAGUGAAGGUGAGAGUCAGAGCAUGCCAAAUCAGGACAUGAGUUCCUUCUAUCAGGAUCAGAGAGUACAGCAACCAUGUCACCUCAGCUCUUCAAUCUAUUAUGGUGGCCAAGAUAUUUAUUCUCACCCUCAGAGUACCCAGAGCCCUGGAUUUAACUCUAUGGAAUAAUGCAAACACAGUGUGUGAACUUUGGACAUGAGAUAGUUCCUCUCUCUCUCUCUCUCUCUCUCUCAUAUCCUGGAAAUUCCAGUAGAUUAUGGUUGAUCUUAAUUCCGGAGCCUGAUAAUUAUAUUUUAUGAUUAUUUCAGUACAAGAAAGAUGGGACUGAAGAUGAUUCUGGAAGUGCUUGUAGAGGAAACUGGUGGCAAGGGUCUCUCUAUUAUUAAGGGCUCACUUGCCGAGGCAUAUACUCAUCAAGAUAUAUAGGAAAUAGGGUACGUAGCAGCAGCAGAUCGUUGUGUGCAGCUGGUUUGUUUUGCUCCAGUCCAGCCCAACAACAGUCAUAUGAAACCAUAGUUCUCUAUAUAUAUGCAUCUUAUUUAGUAUCAGUGUAAAGAAUGAUGAAGUGGUCUCCUUUUGUAAAGGAUGUUUGGUCUAGUGACUUGUCCUUUAUCUUCAACUACUGCUACUGUGGUUGAAGAUUUGGAUAUGAGUAAUUUAGCUGUGUUUAAUAUAUAAUAUAUGUAUGUAUGAACUCGUAAUUGCAUGUUUUCUUUAGCGCUA